rnacentral:rRNA from 1 species
AUUGAACGCUGGCGGCAGGCCUAACACAUGCAAGUCGAACGAGCGGCGGACGGGUGAGUAAUGUCUGGGAAACUGCCCGCUGGAGGGGGGUAACUACUGGAAACGGUAGCUCAUACCGCAUACCAUCUGAGGUGCCCAGAUGGGAUUAGCUAGUAGGUGGGGUAACGGCUCACCUAGGCGACGCUCCCUAGCUGGUCUGAGAGGAUGACCAGCCACACUGGAACUGGGACACGGUCCAGACUCCUACGGGAGGCAGCAGUGGGGAAUAUUGCACAAUGGGCGCAAGCCUGAUGCAGCCAUGCCGCGUGUAUGAAGAAGGCCUUCGGGUUGUAAAGUACUUUCAGCGGGGAGGCGUUACUCGCAGAAGAAGCACCGGCUAACUCCGUGCCAGCAGCCGCGGUAAUAC